AACGAACGCUGGCGGCAGGCCUAAUACAUGCAAGUCGAACGAUCCUUCGGGAUAGUGGCGCACGGGUGAGUAACACGUGGGAACAUACCCUUGGGUGCGGAACAACGUCGGGAAACUGACGCUAAUACCGCAUAAUGACUCCGGUCCAAAGAUUUAUCGCCCAAGGAUUGGCCCGCGCUAGAUUAGGUUGUUGGUGAGGUAACGGCUCACCAAGCCUACGAUCUAUAGCUGGUCUGAGAGGAUGAUCAGCCACACUGGGACUGAGACACGGCCCAGACUCCUACGGGAGGCAGCAGUAAGGAAUAUUGGACAAUGGGGGCAACCCUGAUCCAGCCAUGCCGCGUGAGUGAAGAAGGCCUUAGGGUUGUAAAGCUCUUUCAGGUGCGAAGAUAAUGACUGUAACACCAGAAGAAGCCCCGGCUAAAUUCGUGCCAGCAGCCGCGGUAAAGUAGACGUCUU
rnacentral:rRNA from 1 species